rfam:Schistosoma mansoni strain Puerto Rico chromosome 4, complete genome
AUCCAGCUGACCAGUUCCAAAUAGGACGAAACACGCGUCCUGGAU